rnacentral:lncRNA from 1 species
CAGAAACAUACACAGGGGGUUGGUGAAUGGUGCCGACCGCGGCCAUCGCAGUUGGAGGCUAUUUUUUGGGGGGGGUGAGUAGCGUCCAUGGAGUUACUUUGCGCCCACUCCUAGCGGCACCGGCUUAGGUCCUGCGGGCCGACCGUCCCCGGCGGGGGGCGUGGGGCCUGGGACGCCGCGGGCCCGGCCGCCUCCCUCGCCGCGACCCCGGAUGGAUGCGCGCCCCCCGCCCUCCCGCGCCGGCCCCAGGAGCUCCCGGCUUCGGGAGCAUCCUUCCCGCGCCGGUCCCUGCAGCGGCGCGUAGCCGAGGGCAGCGCCCGUCAGGGGGGCACCGCGGAGCAAGAUGGAAGAGAAGAGGCGAAAAUACUCCAUCAGCAGUGACAACUCUGACACCACUGACAGUCAUGCGACAUCUACAUCCGCAUCAAGAUGCUCCAAACUGCCCAGCAGCACCAAGUCGGGCUGGCCCCGACAGAACGA